rfam:Shewanella halifaxensis HAW-EB4, complete genome.
AAUAAAAUCCAUACUGCUUUUUUUACUUUCUUUUUUAUGCCCCCCACCCUCGGAGGCGGAAUUUCGGUGUAAAAACGAAAGUAAAAAUUCCAAAGCCUCCCACAUGGGAGGCUUUUUUAUA